UGUAGGCGCUUCCGAUGCUUCUGCUCUUGUCGACCGGGCCGCUGGCGAACGUGGAUAUGGACGGCAGGAGUGUUCCGCCUAACGCCAUCUCGACGUCAUUUGGAGGCUGCCUGAAAUGUACACACAGAAGGGGACACGUCUCCCGGGUUAAAGUUCCGCCACACUUUUGGAGACUCCAGGCCGGGGCUGGACGCGGUGGUUGGAGGGCCGGAGCAGGGGAAUCCCUCCCGCCUGGUGCCGAGCAGCGAGCCGGCGGCAGUCUGAGCGGAGUGAGGAGCCAGCGUGAGAGGUGAACUGGAAGUGCACGUCUGGACUAUUACUGCAACAGGAAGUCAGCUGGAGGGAUGCACACAAUGAGAACCCCCCCUCCCGCCUUCCUAACAUACUGAGACCACCUGUAAGACAUCUAUGUUUCACACCUCCCUCCCUCAUUUUUCUGCCAUGACGAAGCACUUCAUCACGAGACAAAACACAGCCCCCUCCUCCACUUCCUGCGCCGGAGCUUUGACAUCAAGCUGGCACAGGAAGUGGACCAACACCCUGCUGGCUGGCUGGCAGUCAACCUCUGCAGACCUCACUACCUGUCUGCGCUUUCAGAGUAAAAGUCCCUCCGGAAUGCGCUCAGCAGGUGGAGUCACUUAGUGUCGUUGCUGACAUGCUGCUUAAUUGCUUUAUUCUUUAUUUAUGACAGCAGUUGGGGGGGGGGGUUGACUUUUGAUUGACAGAUGGAUGGACUUAUUUUACCUCGUCCUGCCCAAUUACUCCUUUAAUUAUGGCCUGCAGCAGCAAGAACCUUAGAAUGUGGGAUAAGUUAACAAAAAACCUCCGUUACUAAGGAAAUCCAAAAAUUUACUUUAGCUGAUUCUUCUAAAAAUUACGUAGAUAUGUUUGUCACCCCCAGGCGACCAAAAAAUUAAACAGUUGCUAUGGGGAUAAACUAACAGAAAAGUGUAUUUUUAUAUACAUUUAUCUCUGCUUAGGCAGUGGGGGCGGGGCCAUGGAAUGCCACUCGCAGCUUUAGCUUUUUUUUUUUUUUACCUUUUUUCUCCUGUCAGAACUUUAAAGUACCCAAAUACUGAAAACCUAAAUAUGUAUUUUGGAAUCCUGACUUUGACAUGAGAUUAGAGAAGUGGAUCAGAAUGCACUUUUGAGAGGUCAGUCGGGUUUUGAGCCCUUUAUUUAUUAUUAUUUUUAUUAUUUUAAAGUAAACGUUUCAGCCAAAGAGAAUUUUAAAAAUAACUUAAAAACAUAAAGAAAACUCAAGAUCCUCUAACAUGACAGACGGUCUUUAUUCCACGCUAAAUUAAAAACAGGAAGUCAAAGUAGGUAAACUCCCUUUCAGAAUAAAAUCAAACUCAAAAUUUUCCAUUUGUGAGUUUAAUAAGCUAAUUGAUUAAAUGAAGGUUACAUGUUCAUAAGCUACCCUAUUGGUUAAAUGUCAUGCAUUGAAUUUCAUCACACAGACACAAAACCAUUAAAAACAUAUCUAGUUCCAUGUAAAAAGUUAUGUUUAUUGUGUCAUGUUUGCUGUACUUCGUUUCUAGGCUGUUA